ACGGGUGAGUAACGCGUAGGAAUCUACCUGGUAGUGGGGGACAACGUCUCGAAAGGGACGCUAAUACCGCAUACGCCCUACGGGGGAAAGGGGGGGAUCUUCGGACCUCUCGCUAUCAGAUGAGCCUGCGUCGGAUUAGCUAGUUGGUGAGGUAAAGGCUCACCAAGGCGACGAUCCGUAGCUGGUCUGAGAGGAUGAUCAGCCACACCGGAACUGAGACACGGUCCGGACUCCUACGGGAGGCAGCAGUGGGGAAUAUUGGACAAUGGGGGCAACCCUGAUCCAGCCAUGCCGCGUGUGUGAAGAAGGCCUUCGGGUUGUAAAGCACUUUAGGGGGGGAGGAAGGUCCCAAAGCGAAUACCUUUGGGAAUUGACGUUACCCCCAGAAUAAGCACCGGCUAACUCCGUGCCAGCAGCCGCGGUAAUACGGAGGGUGCAAGCGUUAAUCGGAAUUACUGGGCGUAAAGCGCGCGUAGGCGGCUUGGUAAGUCGAUUGUGAAAUCCCCGGGCUCAACCUGGGAAUUGCAGUCGAGACUGCUUGGCUAGAGUGUGAGAGAGGGUGGUGGAAUUCCCGGUGUAGCGGUGAAAUGC
rnacentral:rRNA from 1 species